GAAGAAGGGUAGAAGGGAGGGUUGUUGCAAGGAAGAGGUUCGGGAGAGAGGGGGUGAAGAGAGUGCUGGAAGCGGCGCCAUGGAAGGAAGGAAGAAACAUGUGGACACUGAAACGCAACCUGAUAGAAACGAACAAAGGGGUUUUCAUUCGCCAUUCUAUGAUGUUUCUAUUUAGUUUUCAAUCUGAAUAUUCUUACUCACUUUCCUUGCUGCUCGCCUUCUCUCGCUCCCUUUCUCCACGCGCCACCGCUUGUACCCUUCGGCCUCGUGAUGAUAAUCUGAAGUAUCUUGGCUUUUCUUAAAGCUUGAUUUGCCUUCCGUCUGUGUGGAUUUGUGAGUGUUGCAUUGCUCUGCAUUGUGGUUUUUAGUUGCAUAAUGUCUCCAUGAGGGGCUGGUGGGAGAAGGCAAAAAUCGAGACAAACACAAUACAGUGGUGAUAAUCAUUGAGUAAAUCGUGGAAUUUGUAUAUGAAAAAUCUAGUGUCAAUAUGCAGUUUCUAGUCAAAUAAAUGCUCAUUGUAAUUUUGUAAUUUGCUUUUAUGGUUUAGUUGUUUUGGAUACGUAGACAAAUGGGGGAAAGUGGGGGCAAAAAACCUAGACUCUAUGUGUUUGUGAAUAUGCCAACGUAUAUUUUACCAAGUUGGAGCCAACAUUCACGUGAUGGUUUCAACCUCAUUCUACGUGAUGCUGAAGUAUUUUGAAGAAAAGUAGUCUCAAAGGGUGGAGUUACUUGGAAAAAAAAAGUAAAAGAGGUGUUUUUUUUUUAAACGUUAGUCACAAGUAGAAGGACAAAACUUUGAUCCACCAUUGCAGUUUGUUUACCACCACAUCUGGUGUCAUUGUGAUCUUGAAUGGAAGAAAACUGGAAAAAUGAUUGUACAUCAGUAGUAUUUGUGAGUCUUGAUUAUUUGGUGAACAUGGGGAAAAUAAUAGUAUUAUGCAAAAGGGAAAUUUGGUCAUCUUGGGAAACAGCUAUUACUAUUAUCUGUGAAAAAGUUUGUAAUGAGAAGAAUUCUAAACAUUU